rnacentral:rRNA from 1 species
UACGGAGGGGGCAAGCGUUAUUCGGAAUCAUUGGGCGUAAAGGGCGUGUAGGCGGCUUCGUGUGUCUUAUGUGAAAGCCCUCGGCUCAACCGGGGAACUGCAUGGGAAACUGCGAAGCUUGAGUCCGGGAGAGGAGAGUGGAAUUCCCAGUGUAGCGGUGAAAUGCGUAGAGAUCCGGAAGAACACCGGUGGCGAAGGCGGUCUGCUGGGCAGUGGCUGACGCUGAGGCGCGACAGCGUGGGGAGCAAACAGG